ensembl:lncRNA
AUGACCAGGUCUGAACAAGAAGCCAAGAACCAAGAACACAAUCCAUUUCUCCUACACCAGUGGCAGAAACCCAAUCCCUUAUGCCAUUGUUAUUGUCUUCCAGGAUCUGCAUUGGCCGGAAUCUGGAGUCUGGAGCCAAAGCCAAGAAUUAAACUCAGGAUGAUCACUUCAAGUUUCUAAAGGUGGUCUCUGCGCCUGCUGCUCCCUCUGCUGAUCUGAAGCCGCACAGCCCAGCACGAUUCCUACCUACUUGGUUUUCUGGAGGUAAGGCCCCAGGAACCGCUCCUUUUUUUUUUUCAUCCAAUGAUUACUUUUCUUAUGGGAGGGUUAGAAUUUCCCUCUGCCUGUUCCCCACCCACUACCAACUGGCACCCCAGGCUUUGAGCAUAAAUGCCAGCCCCUCAAUUAUAUCUGACAGGGAAAGCCCAAAAGGAAAAGGAAAAGAUAUGAGAAGUGUCCACUAGAUGGCGGAAUUGAUCAAGCAGAAUAGCUCGUGAGGGCUGUGAACUCCAGGAACAAAACUGGUUUGGAAGAGAAUACUCCAAGAGCAAGUGCCUCCACGUUUCCCCCCAAGAAUGCCCUUGAUCUGCCCACAGGUGCUCUGAGUUCAUGCUGGCUGCACUGGUUUUACAUUCCACGAGUAGAGUGGCACUUUAGGGUGUGACAUCAUGGUGUCUGCCCCUUAGCAUGUUAACACUUUGUGAUGCUCACAACAGAGAUAUGAGAUGCUUUUGGGAUGAGGUGAUCCUGAAGACAGAAUGUAUCUACACAGUCAAAAAGCUGACACUUAUUAUUUAACAUCCCAGGCAGGACACUGGAAUCAUCCAUUAUUUUGAGGGACUAUCCAUUGUCUACACAUUGGUCCAAGCCAAGCAACAGAAAUUAGAUUAUCAAUAAAGUUUUCAUCUUGGGUUUACA